AUUUAUCUAUAUAAUAUGUGUAUAACUGUAUAUAUAUCUUAUACAAUUGUGUCAGAAUGAGUAUAAUGCCCAGUAACAGCUGGUAGGAAAGUUUCCACAAUCAUUUCGCUGCAGCCAUUUUGAAGAGCUUUUAACAGAAAACACACAAGAUUCGUAUGCAACCGCGAGCCCUUUGCCCAGGUGUGGAGAGAGGGUAGGAAGGAAGAGAAUGGGGGAAGGAGACUGUAUGACCAAUUGCAUCCUUAUGAAGUUCCAGUACAUGUAUUUAUUUUUACAUGUACAUAGGUUCCUUGUAAUUGGUAUUCAGCAAGGUCUGCAACUGAGAUGUGUGUCAGGUGGAGCUGCCAGGAAGUCUUUGCUGAAAGGGUUGGAGGUGCUUUUAUGACUCUCAGAUAGAAAUCCAAGCUCGAGAUACAAAACUAUUAUUCAUCAUAAAAUAUUGCUAACACUGAAGAACAUUCUCAAGCAUUUCACUGGAUUUUAUGCUGGAGUGAAGGAAAUGAACUGUUCAGGGGUUGUGUAAUUGUUAUUAAAAGGUUCUUCAACAUACAUAAAAAUUAUACCUGAGCUGAAACUGUUCAUUAAAGAUGAGUGAAAACUACUGAAGUGGGCUGUUCUUUUUCCCCUGGAUAUCACUACAGGCCUUCUUAAUAUAUUACACAGAUACUAAUUUGUUUGCCUUGGAGGUCUGUGAUAAUUCGUCAGUGAAGUGAGUUUCCAGAGAAAAUGGAAAAUAGGAAUAAAUGAGAAGAGAAGAAUAAUGAGAUUUGCUGG
rnacentral:lncRNA from 1 species